GCGUUGGUGGUUUAGUGGUAAAAUUCAUCGUUGCCACGUGACUGGAUACCAUCUGGGACCCCCCAGAUGCUCCGGCCGCUAGUUUCGAUGAGCCCCGGGUUCGAUUCCCGGCCGACGCA
rnacentral:tRNA from 1 species